UUUCAGAGAGGUGAUUAAACUUGGCAUUGUUCYUUGAAGUCCACUGAUUAYAGAAAUUGUCAACGAUACUACACGRCAUGCCAGAAAGCGAUGAUACAAAACUACAGCACAUCCGGUCACGACGUCACACCCGGAAGUGGUCACGUGGUCGUCACGUCCUCCAAUGACUAAUAGAAAACCAGUUCAGAACUUGAACAGGGUGAACAAUGCCAUGCAUGCACAACCAUCAAGGCCAGAUGUCUAACAUAGGUUAUGAGAUAACCACUGUAUCGCAGGUUUAAUGGCUGUAUCGACCUGUGACUGAAAGGUAGUCCUGUGUGACUACAGAUAGUCAGCCAAAGGCCUUGCCCAAGUGGCAGUUAGCUUGACAGAAACAAAAACUGAUGCUAUCAGUAACAGUCAAGCAUCCAAAGGCCUUCAUCAUGUGACAGAACUAUAAACAAAGUCUGUCACAGAAAUCCAUUAGAUACCAAGAGAACAUGAAGACUUAGAUUUAGAAAAAUAUUUUUGAGGGGCUGGGGGACUGUUUCAUAGGACUUUGAGAUAAACAUAGGAUAAGGUUUCACAAAGAGUUGAGGAUACUAGGAUUAGUUGUCCUUUCAAUGCUUCAGCAUUUUCACUGGAUGCAGUAUGGUCUUCUAGGCCUGUAUGCAAACCAUUCAAAGCAAGAAUUUUCUUGUACAAAGAAGGUUUCUUCAUAGAUGCCGGUCCUCCAGCCCCUAGCAAUAGAUACAGGAGAGUGUCCUGAUAUAGGUUAGGUUUAAGCUUUUUAUUUCAAUGAUUUUGUAGCUUCAGUGAAGCCUGGUGUUUUCAUUUCAUAGACCUCGGGGUUUAGAUUUGCACAGAAUUUGAACUCAACUCUCAGGACACUCUCCUGUAUCUAUUGCUUUUGAUUUUUUGAAAAGAAAUAAACUUCAUGCCUCCCACGAGGCCCUGCCAGCACCAAAAGAGAAGCCACCCCUGCAGGCCAAAUCUUUUUGGUAGUCUCGCUGCCCUGACUAGAG